AGUGAACGCUGGCGGUAGGCCUAACACAUGCAAGUCGAACGGCAGCACAGUAAGAGCUUGCUCUUACGGGUGGCGAGUGGCGGACGGGUGAGGAAUACAUCGGAAUCUACUUUUUCGUGGGGGAUAACGUAGGGAAACUUACGCUAAUACCGCAUACGACCUACGGGUGAAAGCAGGGGAUCUUCGGACCUUUCGCGAUUGAAUGAGCCGAUGUCGGAUUAGCUAGUUGGCGGGGUAAAGGCCCACCAAGGCGACGAUCCGUAGCUGGUCUGAGAGGAUGAUCAGCCACACUGGAGCUGAGACACGGUCCAGACUCCUACGGGAGGCAGCAGUGGGGAAUAUUGGACAAUGGGCGCAAGCCUGAUCCAGCCAUACCGCGUGGGUGAAGAAGGCCUUCGGGUUGUAAAGCCCUUUUGUUGGGAAAGAAAAGCAGCAGGUUAAUACCCCGCUGUUCUGACGGUACCCAAAGAAUAAGCACCGGCUAACUUCGUG
rnacentral:rRNA from 1 species